ACGGAAGGCAGCAGCUAAGAAUAUUCCGCAAUGGACGAAAGUCUGACGGAGCGACGCCGCGUGGAUGAUGAAGGUCGGAAGAUUGUAAAAUCCUUUUAUAACUGAGGAAUAAGCAGUGUGAGAGAAACGCAUUGCGGUGACUGUAGGUUAUGAAUAAGCAACGGCUAAUUACGUGCCAGCAGCCGCGGUAACACGUAAGUUGCGAGCGUUGUUCGGAAUUAUUGGGCGUAAAGGGCAUGUAGGCGGUUUUGCAAGCUUGAUGUGAGAGGCAGGAGCUUAACUCCUGGACUGCGUUGAGAACUGCAUGACUAGAGUCACGGAGGGGCAAUCAGAAUUCCUGGUGUAGGGGUGAAAUUUGUAGAUAUCAGGAAGAAUACCAAUGGCGAAGGCAGGUUACCAGCAGAUGACUGACGCUGAGGUGCGAAGGUGCGGGGAGCAAACAGGAUUAGAUACCCUGGUA
rnacentral:rRNA from 1 species